AGAGUUUGAUCCUGGCUCAGAACAAACGCUGGCGGCGUGCCUAACACAUGCAAGUCGUACGAGAAAGGGUCCUUCGGGACCUGAGUAAAGUGGCGCACGGGUGAGUAACGCGUGGAUAAUCUACCCCUCAGUUGGGAAUAACUCAUCGAAAGGUGGGCUAAUACCGAAUAACACUGCAAGACCUUGGUCGAACAGUCAAAGAGAGCCUCUGCUUGCAAGCCCUCGCUGAAGGAUGAGUCCGCGUACCAUUAGCUAGUUGGUAGGGUAAUGGCCUACCAAGGCGACGAUGGUUAGCUGGUCUGAGAGGAUGAUCAGCCACACUGGAACUGAGAUACGG
rnacentral:rRNA from 1 species